UACGUAGGGGGCAAGCGUUGUCCGGAAUCAUUGGGCGUAAAGCGCGCGUAGGCGGCUCGGUAAGUCCGUUGUGAAAGUCAAAGGCUCAACCUUUGAAUGCCGAUGGAUACUGUCGAGCUAGAGUCCGGAAGAGGCGAGUGGAAUUCCUGGUGUAGCGGUGAAAUGCGCAGAUAUCAAGGAGGACACCGGUGGCGAAGGCGGGAUCGUCUGGGCCGGAACUGACGCUGAGGAGCGAAGCGUGGGAGCGAA
rnacentral:rRNA from 1 species